CACGGGCCUGCACGAAACAUGAAAACUUGAUUAUUUACAUUUUCUGGGCUGCUUCGGCAAUGUUUUGUAGGCAGUUUAUUCUGCUAACUUGUGUUAAGUUUUUACACUAAGUAGACGUGUGGUUAAGUGCAAAUCGCUAGGCAUGGAUUGUGAACGCGCAGGAGUAAUUUCACGGAGAACAGCACGACCAACCUGAGCUCGUACUGUUGAAGUGGAGGCCAUAAGAUGACGUUCGCGGAUGAGGAAAUCAGCCUGGUCUACAAGCGGCCCAAACAGCUGCUGUAUACAAGAGUUUUUUUCAAUGUCACCGCCGCCCUGUGUGAUGCUGUCAUCCGAGCGACCAGGCCACGGCCUAUAAGGGCAGGAUCUGGUGGUGGUGCCUCUAUCUCGGAAAGUACGGCUGUCGCGUUCGCAAAAAGGCCCAGUGAACGAGGGUUAACGAUGGAUGUGUGGUUAGUGCGAAUUGUUGGGCUAUACUACAGAAAUCGAGUCAACUGGACCCGCUCAUGUAUUUGAAAUGAGAUGAACUGCUUUACGAAACCGGCCCUUUCGUCGUGUACUUUGUAAGUAGAAGAUCAUGAAAAAUAAAAUAGUUGCUAAACCCUACUA